CGUGCAGGCGGAACGGAAAGUGUCGGGUGAAAGCCCACGGCUCAACCGUGGAACUGCCCGGCAAACUAUCGUUCUUGAGGCAGGUAGAGGUGACUGGAACGACUGGUGGAGCGGUGAAAUGCGUAGAUAUCAGUUGGAACGCCGGAGGCGAAAGCGGGUCACUGGGCCUGUCCUGACGCUGAGACGCGAAAGCGUGGGGAGCAAACA
rnacentral:rRNA from 1 species